CCUACGGGGGGCAGCAGUGGGGAAUAUUGGACAAUGGGGGCAACCCUGAUCCAGCCAUGCCGCGUGUAUGAAGAAGGCCCUCGGGUUGUAAAGCACUUUCAGUGAGGAAGAACGCCUGGUGGUUAAUACCCAUCAGGAAAGACAUCACUCACAGAAGAAGCACCGGCUAACUCCGUGCCAGCAGCCGCGGUAAUACGGAGGGUGCGAGCGUUAAUCGGAAUUACUGGGCGUAAAGCGCGCGUAGGUGGCUUGAUAAGCCGGUUGUGAAAGCCCCGGGCUCAACCUGGGAACGGCAUCCGGAACUGUCAAGCUAGAGUGCAGGAGAGGAAGGUAGAAUUCCCGGUGUAGCGGUGAAAUGCGUAGAGAUCGGGAGGAAUACCAGUGGCGAAGGCGGCCUCCUGGACUGACACUGACACUGAGGUGCGAAAGCGUGGGUAGCAAACAGGAUUAGAUACCCCAGUAGUC
rnacentral:rRNA from 1 species